rnacentral:rRNA from 1 species
UACGUAGGUGGCGAGCGUUGUCCGGAUUUAUUGGGCGUAAAGCGAGCGCAGGUGGUUUAUUAAGUCUGGUGUAAAAGGCAGUGGCUCAGCCAUUGUAUGCAUUGGAAACUGGUAGACUUGAGUGCAGGAGAGGAGAGUGGAAUUCCAUGUGUAGCGGUGAAAUGCGUAGAUAUAUGGAGGAACACCGGUGGCGAAAGCGGCUCUCUGGCCUGUAACUGACACUGAGGCUCGAAAGCGUGGGGAGCAAACAGG